rnacentral:rRNA from 1 species
CCAGCAGCCGCGGUAAUACGUAGGGUGCAAGCGUUAAUCGGAAUUACUGGGCGUAAAGCGUGCGCAGGCGGUUAUGUAAGACAGGUGUGAAAUCCCCGGGCUUAACCUGGGAAUGGCAUUUGUGACUGCAUAGCUAGAGUGUGUCAGAGGGGGGUAGAAUUCCACGUGUAGCAGUGAAAUGCGUAGAGAUGUGGAGGAAUACCGAUGGCGAAGGCAGCCCCCUGGGAUAACACUGACGCUCAUGCACGAAAGCGUGGGGAGCAAACAGGAUUAGAUACCCUGGUAGUCCACGCCCUAAACGAUGUCUACUAGUUGUCGGGUCUUAAUUGACUUGGUAACGCAGCUAACGCGUGAAGUAGACCGCCUGGGGAGUACGGUCGCAAGAUUAAAACUCAAAGGAAUUGACGGGGACCCGCACAAGCGGUGGAUGAUGUGGAUUAAUUCGAUGCAACGCGAAAAACCUUACCUACCCUUGACAUGUACAGAAUCCCGAAGAGAUUUGGGAGUGUUCGAAAGAAAACUGUAACACAGGUGCUGCAUGGCUGUCGUCAGCUCGUGUCGUGAGAUGUUGGGUUAAGUCCCGCAACGAGCGCAACCCUUGUCAUUAGUUGCUACGAAAGGGCACUCUAAUGAGACUGCCGGUGACAAACCGGAGGAAGGUGGGGAUGACGUCAAGUCCUCAUGGCCCUUAUGGGUAGGGCUUCACACGUCAUACAAUGGUACAUACAGAGGGCCGCCAACCCGCGAGGGGGAGCUAAUCCCAGAAAGUGUAUCGUAGUCCGGAUUGUAGUCUGCAACUCGACUACAUGAAGUUGGAAUCGCUAGUAAUCGCGGAUCAGCAUGUCGCGGUGAAUACGUUCCCGGGUCUUGUACACACCGCCCGUCACACCAUGGGAGCGGGUUUUACCAGAAGUAGGUAGCCUAACCGUAAGGA